rnacentral:miRNA from 1 species
CUACUGCGGCUGCUGGACCGGCA